UGGCCUUCACAAGCAACUGCGGACUUGUC
rnacentral:piRNA from 1 species